rnacentral:rRNA from 1 species
GGGCCCGCACAAGCGGUGGAGCAUGUGGAUUAAUUCGAUGCAACGCGAAGAACCUUACCCAGGCUCGAACGCUACCGGACAGGCCCUGAAAGGGGCUCUUCUUCGGACUGGUAGCGAGGUGCUGCAUGGCUGUCGUCAGUUCGUGUCGUGAGAUGUUGGGUUAAGUCCCGCAACGAACGCAACCCCUAUCGCUAGUUACCAGCGGGUAAUGCCGGGGACUCUAGCGAGACUGCCUGCGCAAGCAGUGAGGAAGGUGGGGACGACGUCAAGUCAUCAUGGCCCUUACGCCUGGGGCUUCACACGUGCUACAAUGGCCGGUACAAUGGGCAGCCACUCCGCGAGGAGGAGCGAAUCCACAAAGCCGGUCUCAGUUCGGAUCGGAGUCUGCAACCCGACUCCGUGAAGCUGGAAUCGCUAGUAAUCG